CCAAUUGAUUGGAGUUGUCAAAGAUGUCUAWGCAUUACUAAUUGAGGUUCCCCUAUGUAUCAAGUGAUGAGUAAACAGUGAAGCGCCAUACUUGCUGCUGAACUUGAUCGAGUGCGGGAUAUUUUGUUUACAAUCCAAGAUUCUUUAACGGACAAGAUGAUGUCAAAGAAGCUUCUUCUAUUAUUUGUGAUUGUGAUGCUGGCUGUGUCCUUGAAUGAGUCAGCACCAAGAGCUAGUGACUCAAAUCUCCAUCGACUUUUGAUGAGGGUCUUGAAGGCCAAGAGGAUGUAUGAGAAUGAUCCCGAACCGUGUUCUUCCUCAGAAUGUUACGGCGACAUUAUAUGCUGCGACGGAUGGCAUUGCGGUAGUAGGUA